GACGAACGCUGGCGGCGUGCCUAAUACAUGCAAGUAGAACGCUGAAGAGAGGAGCUUGCUCUUCUUGGAUGAGUUGCGAACGGGUGAGUAACGCGUAGGUAACCUGCCUUGUAGCGGGGGAUAACUAUUGGAAACGAUAGCUAAUACCGCAUAACAAUGGAUGACACGUGUCAUUUAUUUGAAAGGGGCAAUUGCUCCACUACAAGAUGGACCUGCGUUGUAUUAGCUAGUAGGUGAGGUAAUGGCUCACCUAGGCGACGAUACAUAGCCGACCUGAGAGGGUGAUCGGCCACACUGGGACUGAGACACGGCCCAGACUCCUACGGGAGGGAGCAGUAGGGAAUCUUCGGCAAUGGGGGCAACCCUGACCGAGCAAAGCCGCGUGAGUGAAGAAGAUUUUCGGAUCGUAAAGCUCUGUUGUAAGUCAAGAACGGGUGUGAGAGUGGAAAGUUCACACUGUGACGGUAGCUUACCAGAAAGGGACGGCUAACUACGUG
rnacentral:rRNA from 1 species